rnacentral:tRNA from 1 species
GCCUGGGUGGCUCAGUCGGUUAAGCGUCCGACUUCGGCUCAGGUCAUGAUCUCACGGUCUGUGGGUUCAAGCCCCACGUCGGGCU